ensembl:lncRNA
UUUAGUCUUUUUUCUCCAUCUGAGCUUUUUAUUCUCUACAUGCUGAUCUGAUUCUGAACAUUGGAUUUGUUUCUGAUAAUUUCAUUAUCAAUGAUUUUAACCAGCUGCUUCACAUCUCUGAGCAUCAGCUUGCUUAAGUAUUAACUGAAGAUAAAAGUCCCUGCUUCAGAGGAUUGUUGAGGGCAUUAAGGGAUCUACCACAAAAACCCUCAGUGCAAUGCCUGGCGUGUGAUGUGGACAUGGAAGUCAAAGAUACUUGUCCAAGGUUACACAGCUGGAAAGUAACUGAAUUUGGAUUUGAACCUGGCUUCAAAUCUUCAGAUCUGCCUAUUUAUAGCAUGGUUUCCAGCCACAAGCUGCACCAUUCAGGAUGAAUUUGGGUUGGAAACUUGGAUCCUUGAGAGAUUUCUAGGGGGUGGUGACAAGGUUGAACUUCACUUUGUUCUCUUUCCAUCUCUGCCUCUCACAUCUUGCUUUGCUCUUUCAUAAUUUUAAUAUCUGAAACUUCACACCGAUCAUGUAAGUGAUGUAAAUGUUUUCAGAAAACAUGUGCUGGGCAUAUGAUUUGGGCUUAGGCUCUGAUGCUUUGUAAUACUCAUAUUUUGCAACCAGAAAGAUGUUUCUCUGCUCCACAGCUCCAUCGGAUGUUGCGUCUUCACUGUGGGUUUAUUUUAGAGUCUUACCCAAGCUCCAGACUCUUAUUCUUUCCACAGCCCCAAAUAAGUUCUUCACCCUGCAAUCUCCAGCUGUGAAGUGGGAUCAUGAGACCUACCUCUCCUGUCUAUAACAAAAGAUGGGCAUAUGUGAAGAGCAUUUUACAAACUCAGUAGGGUACCGUAUACUGUACACUAUACGUGAUUAUCCAGCGCUUGACUUAUUUAUUCAACAGCACACAUUUAUUGAACACCUACUGUAUACAGUGCUGGGG